GCAUUCCUGGGGUGUACGACAUUCUUGUUAUUUUGAACCUACAACUACGAUCUGGGAGCCUUAAUAAUAAAAGCAUUAAUGCCAGGCCACAAGAUAAUUCCCUUUGGGCAGUGGAAGGCAACGAUAUUUUUGCAGGCACCCCCCUGGCUUGAGCUAGGGCGUCAAAAUGCAAGAACCGGCAUUUCGGGGUAUAA
rnacentral:other from 1 species